rnacentral:rRNA from 1 species
AUUGAACGCUGGCGGCAUGCCUUACACAUGCAAGUCGAACGGCAGCGGACCUUCGGGUGCCGGCGAGUGGCGAACGGGUGAGUAAUGCAUCGGAACGUGCCAUUGAGUGGGGGAUAACGUAGCGAAAGUUGCGCUAAUACCGCAUAUUCUGUGAGCAGGAAAGCAGGGGACCGCAAGGCCUUGCGCUCUUUGAGCGGCCGAUGUCAGAUUAGCUAGUUGGUGAGGUAACGGCUUACCAAGGCGACGAUCUGUAGCGGGUCUGAGAGGAUGAUCCGCCACACUGGAACUGAGACACGGUCCAGACUCCUACGGGAGGCAGCAGUGGGGAAUAUUGGACAAUGGGCGCAAGCCUGAUCCAGCAAUGCCGCGUGUGUGAAGAAGGCC